UGGGGAAUUUUGCACAAUGGGCGCAAGCCUUAUGCAGCGACGCCGCGUGAGGGAUGAAGGCCUUCGGGUUGUAAACCUUUUUCGCUCAUGGUCAAGCCGCAGCUUUGGGUUGUGGUGAGGGUAGGGGGUAAAGAAGCGCCGGCUCACUACGUGCCAGCCGCCGCGGUACUACGAAGGGCGCGAGCGUUGUCCGGAAUGAUUGGGCGUAAGGAGCUUGUAGGCGGUUCGUCGCGUCUGGUGUGAAAGCCCAUCGCUUAACGGUGGGUUUGCGCCGGGUACGGGCGGGCUAGAGUGCAGUAGGGGAGACUGGAAUUCCCGGUGUAACGGUGGAAUGUGUAGAUAUCGGGAAGAACACAAAUGGCGAAGGGAGGUCUCUGGGCUGUUACUGACGCUGAGAAGCGAAAGCGUGGGGGGCGAACAGG
rnacentral:rRNA from 1 species